rnacentral:rRNA from 1 species
UGGGGUGCUCGAGUGGCGAACGGGUGAGUAACACGUGAGUAACCUGCCCUUGACUUUGGGAUAACUUCAGGAAACUGGGGCUAAUACCGGAUAGGAGCUCCUGCUGCAUGGUGGGGGUUGGAAAGUUUCGGCGGUUGGGGAUGGACUCGCGGCUUAUCAGCUUGUUGGUGGGGUAGUGGCUUACCAAGGCCUUGACGGGUAGCCGGCCUGAGAGGGUGACCGGCCACAUUGGGACUGAGAUACGGCCCAG